UAAAUGUUUCCAGUGACGGGUGCAUAUGCGCAUCCAUCAGUGCAGACGAAAGGCGCUGAGGCAGACUGGACGCCCAUACAAUGCACAGACAGGGAGUGUAGCCACUCCUUGAUGAAGGCUCCGCAUCUGCACUGUCCAUUCUGCUCCCAGGACAGUCUCUUCACUGAUGAGAUUCUCCUCAAGGCGCACUACGUACAGGGUCAAGUACGUGGAUAAAGGCAUCAACUUUGGGGGAUGUCAACCAGAUCUUCACCACAUACACUGACCCAGCACCCAACAGUACCAGCCUGGUAACACACCUCAUAGUCCCCCAGUCACAGCAGCCAUCGGAGACGGACACAUCAUCCCUGGGGCUAUAAGCAGACUGAUGGGCAGCAGCCGCAGAUCGAGUACCAGUAUGCCUGCAUCAAUGAUCCAAGCCAGAGCACUGCCAAUGGGGAAGUUGUCCUUAUUGAAAUACCAGAUGAAGGAAGCAAAGAGGAUUUGGAG
rnacentral:lncRNA from 1 species